ACCUGAAAUCUUGAUCCUUUUACUUCUGAGAUUUGAGAGUUGACUUACUCAACUGAAAACCUGAUCUGACACAGUUUGUUUAUAAUAUUUCUGAGAAUAUGCUUGAGAUUGUUUUAAUGCUCAACCAAAAAUUUGUCAAGUUGUUUUAGAUAUUUUAUUUCCUCAAUGGUUUUUGUUUAGAUUUUUUCAGGCCCUUCUUUAUGGAUGCUGUCAAUGUUCCAAAAAGACAACAUGAAACAUGCCUGUGAUAAGGAGUUUCAAGCUCUUAAAGCCUGUAUAAGACAUUAGCAGCAAAGAAAAUUGAAUUGUGGAAAAUUGAAAAGAGAGAACAACCACACCUGUUGCAGCAAAGUUCAGAGACAAAAGACACCACAGGGGACCCACUCAUUUUUUGUCUGGGAUGAAAAAUGUAGUAAGGAGACUUUUGGGCUUGUGGAAACUUAAAAAGAUUACUGCUAAUAUGAAAUAUAUGAGAAUUACUUGGCA